rnacentral:rRNA from 1 species
UACGAGGGGGGCGAGCGUUUGUUCGGAAUUAUUGGGCGUAAAGGGUGCGUAGGCGGUUUGGUAAGUCUUAUGUGAAAUCUACAGGCUCAACUUGUAGUCUGCAUGAGAAACUGCCGGGCUUGAGUAUGGGAGAGGUGAGUGGAAUUCCUGGUGUAGCGGUGAAAUGCGUAGAUAUCAGGAGGAACACCUGUGGCGAAAGCGGCUCACUGGACCAUAACUGACGCUGAGGAGCGAAAGCGUGGGGAGCGAACAGG